rnacentral:rRNA from 1 species
UAGCGAGUUGGUACCACCCCUUCCCAUCCCGAACAGGACCGUGAAACGACUCUGCGCCAAUGAUAGUGCUGCAACCAGUGUGAAAGUAGGUUAUCGUCAGGC